GCAGUAGCCGCGGGAAUACGUAGGUGGCGAGCGUUGUCCGGAAUCAUUGGGCGUAAAGGGAGCGCAGGCGGGCAAGUAAGUCUUUCUUAAAAGUCCGUGGCUCAACCCCGUGAUGGGAAAGGAACUACAUGUCUUGAGUACAGGAGAGGAAAGCGGAAUUCCCAGUGUAGCGGUGAAAUGCGUAGAUAUUGGGAGGAACACCAGUGGCGAAGGCGGCUUUCUGGACUGCAACUGACGCUGAGGCUCGAAAGCCAGGGGAGCGAACGGGAUUAGAUACCCGCGUAGUCCCUGUCUCUUAUACC
rnacentral:rRNA from 1 species